rnacentral:rRNA from 1 species
GAGUUUGAUCAUGGCUCAGGACGAACGCUGGCGGCGCGCUUAAUACAUGCAAGUCGAGCGAGAACCAUGGCUUCGGCCAUGGGGACAGCGGCGAACGGGUGAGUAACACGUGGGUAAUCAACCCCCGACACCGGGAUAGCCCAGGGAAACUUGGAUUAAUACCGGAUGCCCCAUCUGGCUUUCGAGCCGGCUGGAAAAGGGUAGCUUCGGCCUCCGGUCGGGGACGAGCCCGCGGCGGAUUAGCUUGUUGGUGAGGUAAGAGCUCACCAAGGCGACGAUCCGUAGCUGGUCUGAGAGGACGAUCAGCCACACUGGGACUGAGACACGGCCCAGACUCCUACGGGAGGCAGCAGUAGGGAAUCUUGCGCAAUGGGCGAAAGCCUGACGCAGCGACGCCGCGUGAGGGAAGAAGGCCUUAGGGUUGUAAACCUCUUUCAGGAGGGACGAAGCCACUCAGGUUAAUAGCCGAGAGGGUGACGGUACCUCCAGAAGAAGCCCCGGCUAACUACGUGCCAGCAGCCGCGGUA